CAGCAGUCGCGGGAAUACGGAGGGUGCAAGCGUUAAUCGGAAUUACUGGGCGUAAAGCGCACGCAGGCGGUCUGACAAGUCAGAUGUGAAAUCCCCGGGCUUAACCUGGGAACUGCAUUUGAAACUGUCAGGCUGGAGUCUUGUAGAGGGGGGUGGAAUUCCAGGUGUAGCGGUGAAAUGCGUAGAGAUCUGGAGGAAUACCGGUGGCGAAGGCGGCCCCCUGGACAAAGACUGACGCUCAGGUGCGAAAGCGUGGGGAGCAAACAGGAUUAGAUACCCGUGUAGUCCCUGUCUCUUAUACACA
rnacentral:rRNA from 1 species